GAUAUGCAUUGAAUGUCAUAUAGGACCCAAUUUUUAUUUUCACAUUGAAGUUAGGCAUCAAAGGUGCAACCAUUGCACAUGUUCUCUCCUAGUACAUGAUGACAUUCACUCUCUUAUUAAUAUUAAUGAAAAAAGUGCAUCUCCUACCUCCAAGCAAAAAGGAUUUACAGAUUUUCCGAUUUCUUAAAAAUGGAGGAUUGUUGAUGCUAAGGGUAAUAGCAGUGACAUUUUGUGUUACCUUAGCAACAUCAUUGGUUGCAAGACUAGGUUCAAUUCCCAUGGCUGCAUUUCAAACAUGCCUACAGGUGUGGUUGACAUUGUCCCUUCUUGCAGAUAGUUUGGCUGUUGUUAUUUAGGAAAUGUUGGUGUAACCACAUAAUUACGUACUGGUGUCACUAGUAAGUGUAGCCACAGAAUUCAUUCUCUACAGGAUCAAACAUUU